rnacentral:rRNA from 1 species
UACGGAGGGUGCAAGCGUUAUCCGGAUUUACUGGGUUUAAAGGGUGCGUAGGCGGAUUGGUAAGUCAGCGGUGAAAUACUCUCGCUUAACGAGGGAACUGCCGUUGAUACUAUUAAUCUUGAAUGCGGUUGAGGCGGAUAGAAUGUGUCAUGUAGCGGUGAAAUGCUUAGAUAUGACACAGAAUACCAAUUGCGAAGGCAGUUCGCUAAGCCGUUAUUGACGCUGAGGCACGAAAGCGUGGGGAUCAAACAGG